rnacentral:sRNA from 1 species
CAAGAGAGAGAGAGAGAGAGAGAGAGAGAGAGAGAGAGAGUUA